GCAUAUCAAUAAGCGGAGGAAAAGAAACCAACAGGGAUUACCUCAGUAACGGCGAGUGAAGCGGUAACAGCUCAAAUUUGAAAUCUGGCUCUUUCAGGGUCCGAGUUGUAAUUUGUAGAAGAUGCUUUGGGCAUUGCUCCGGUCUAAGUUCCUUGGAACAGGACGUCAUAGAGGGUGAGAAUCCCGUAUGUGACUGGUGGCAUUUGUCCGUGUAAAGCUCUUUCGACGAGUCGAGUUGUUUGGGAAUGCAGCUCAAAAUGGGUGGUAUAUUUCAUCUAAAGCUAAAUAUUGGCCAGAGACCGAUAGCGCACAAGUAGAGUGAUCGAAAGAUGAAAAGCACUUUGGAAAGAGAGUUAAACAGUACGUGAAAUUGUUGAAAGGGAAGCGCUUGCAACCAGACUUGCAGGUCGUUGAUCAUCCGGGGUUCUCCCCGGUGCACUCGGCGGCUUUCAGGCCAGCAUCGGUUUGAGUGGUGGGAUAAAGGCCUUGGGAAUGUGGCUCCUUUCGGGGAGUGUUAUAGCCCAAGGUGCAAUGCCGCCUAUUCGGACCGAGGACCGCGCUUCGGCUAGGAUGCUGGCGUAAUGGUUGUAAGCGACCCGUCUUGAAACACGGACC
rnacentral:rRNA from 1 species